GGUAAAAUGGCUGAGUGAAGCAUUAGACUGUAAAUCUAAGGACAGAGGUUUGAUUCCUCUUUUUGCCA
rnacentral:tRNA from 1 species